rnacentral:lncRNA from 1 species
UGGGCAGCUCUGGAGUAGGCUCAGGAUACGUGGGGAAAGAAUGUUCUGGACUUGAGAAUUUCAGGCUUGUUGCUUGAAGUGAGACAAGAGCCAUCGAAAUCCAGUGGCAAGU